UACGGAGGUGGCAAGCGUUACUCGGUAUGACUGGGUGUAAAGGGUCCGCAGGCGGCCUUAUAAGUGAAAGGUGAAAUCUUUCGGCUUAACCGAAAAACUGCCUUUCAAACUAUAAGGAUAGAGGAUGAAAGAGGAAAGUGGAACUGUCGGUGUAAAGGUGAAAUUUGUGGAUAUCGACAGGAACGCCCGUGGGGAAGCCGACUUUCUGGUUCAUUCCUGACGCUGAGGGACGAAAGCUAGGGGAGCGAACAGGAUUAGAUACCCCCGUA
rnacentral:rRNA from 1 species